rnacentral:rRNA from 1 species
GACGAACGCUGGCGGCGUGCCUAAUACAUGCAAGUUGAGCGCUGAAGGUUGGUACUUGUACCGACUGGAUGAGCAGCGAACGGGUGAGUAACGCGUGGGGAAUCUGCCUUUGAGCGGGGGACAACAUUUGGAAACGAAUGCUAAUACCGCAUAAAAACUUUAAACACAAGUUUUAAGUUUGAAAGAUGCAAUUGCAUCACUCAAAGAUGAUCCCGCGUUGUAUUAGCUAGUUGGUGAGGUAAAGGCUCACCAAGGCGAUGAUACAUAGCCGACCUGAGAGGGUGAUCGGCCACAUUGGGACUGAGACACGGCCCAAACUCCUACGGGAGGCAGCAGGAGGGGAUCUUCGGCAAUGGACGAAAGUCUGAACGAGCAACGCCGCGUGAGUGAAGAAGGUUUUCGGAUCGUAAAACUCUGUUGGUAGAGAAGAACGUUGGUGAGAGUGGAAAGCUCAUCAAGUGACGGUAACUACCCAGAAAGGGACGGCUAACUACGUG